UACGUAGGGGGCAAGCGUUAUCCGGAUUUACUGGGUGUAAAGGGAGCGUAGACGGCACUGCAAGUCUGGAGUGAAAGCCCGAGGCCCAACCACGGGACUGCUCUGGAAACUGCGGGGCUGGAGUGCAGGAGGGGUAAGCGGAAUUCCUAGUGUAGCGGUGAAAUGCGUAGAUAUUAGGAGGAACACCGGUGGCGAAGGCGGCUUACUGGACUGUAACUGACGCUCAGGCACGAAAGCGUGGGUAUCGAACAGG
rnacentral:rRNA from 1 species